AAAGUACUCCUUCCGUCCCAAAAUUCUUGUCUUAGAUUUGUCUAGAUACGGAUGUAUCAAGUCACAUUUUAGUAUUAGAUACAUCCGUAUCUAGACAAACCUAAGACAAGAAAUUUAGGACAGAGGGAGUAGUUG
rnacentral:pre_miRNA from 1 species